CUCCCACCUCCUUUUUUUAUUCCCAUUCCACCACGAUCCCCAACCCCAACCCUCGUUCUCUUCUCCCUUCCCCAUGUUCCUCACGGCGCUAGCAGAGGUGAGAGGCGCUCGUGGCAGAGUACGGGGAGGUGCACCACGGAUUUCUGCUCGCCAUCCUGCCGCAGCGGAGAUGCUCGCUCCUCAUUGCGACCGCGUUGGUUGUGAUGUGGCCGGCCCAGGCAUCCACCCCUGUGGCUUUCCCCUCCGCUGUCGUUCGUGGGCGAUGGAUCGGUCGCUCUCCACCGUCGACUUGUCCUCCGCACUCUCGCUCAUCCACAUCGUCUUCGCCUCUACGGGAUCACGGGAUCAACACACCUCUGGCCCCGCUGUGAGUGAGGAGCCGCCCAUCCCUCUGUAAUCCGAGAUGUCGCCCCACCAUUCCUGUUCCGCCAACAACAACAUCUCCCCUGACCGCUUGUCGUGCCUUGCCUCCAAAUCGGAUCACUGCAGUCUGAAGAUAAGCUUCAUCAUUGAUUCUUUUUUCUUUAUGUUUCUUAUGUUAUUUGUCACUUCACCGUGAACGUCAUGAGAUGUCUUGUUGGUUCAAUGAUGAACUGAAUAGAUCGUGUCACUUUGAUCAUGUCGUUGUAUGAAGAAUAUGGGAGUGCCAACCAUUGGCGACUCAUUCUAUAAUCUGUACUAUCAUGUUCAGUUAGUUUCUGGACAGAUGAGUAUAUGUUUAGUUUAUAUUGUGCCAUUGGUCCAAGAAUUGCUCUUGUAUAGAAGUGUAGCAAUGGAUGGUCCAAAAGCAAAUCAUAUUCUAAUUGCUGCAGAGUUUAAAAACCAACUGGAAUACAUUUCCAUUUGCUUUCUGCUGAAGCUUGAAUGAUCUUCUUUUUUCAGUAUUUUGAUGCAGUCUUAUCUCAACCACAUGAUGGCACACUAUAUAAGACCUCUAACCUGACGUGGAAGGACGAACUUCGACCAUGGAGCAGAGCACAGCGACGGUGGUCGUUGUCAUGGAUUGAUGGUCAAUGAUAAAGAGCAGGGGCCCUCGGAUGCUAGCCCUCCUCCCGCUGCUAUCCUCCCCAUCACCUACGAGAUGUAUAUGAUGCUGACUUUCAGAGGCUGAACAAUUAGGUUGAUAUUGAAGGAGUAAUAAAGGAUCAAUGGGCCAAGAUGUUUUGAGAUCAAACGGUGAGGUGCUAGGGACAGUCCUCCAGAGCAAAAGCAUUCAGUUUCAAGGACAUCAUAAGAUGCUAAAAAGUCCAAUUCAAGUAAUUUCAUCAUAAAACAGGGCUACAAGUAACAACUGGAGAAGAAGGGGGCCAAAAAUCCAAAAAGGCAUUGGGCGUGCAGCCACUCCGCCGACAUGACAGUCUUAGUACGCGGCACUGCGUAAACACGCAUUGCGGUGGCGACCACUGACACUGACAACAACGUGGCUUUUCAGCGAGCGGCGACCCUGACGGUGGCAGCACCCAUCACAUAAGGCAACGCUCCGACCAUACCCGAUGGUGUUCCCUGAGCCAUGGUGUGUGCCUUCUCCUCCCCUAGAUCAUCUCACCAAUUACUUGCACGCUAGAGGAAUGUAUAUCAUAGAUUAUCUAGAAACGAUACUGCUUACUUCUGAUGCUCCAUCAUCGUGCCAGGCUUCAUUUAAUCCUAAAGGCUCCUUUGGUUAGUAAUUCAUCUACUCUUCAUCAUUGCCUGCAAUUUUCAUCACUGACUGUAGUUUUGUAAAUUAAUUCAUCCUUGGUAAGUUUUGACUGUCUAUUCUUUGCUCAUUGGCUCUGUAUGGCGAUUGUCACAUGUUUAAUUUGACUGCACAUUGGACAUGUAAUUAUACAUUUCGAGGUAUAACGCUGGUGUUUGUUUCUACAUUUGAAUAUUUCUCUUGUGGGGUAGAAACCAUAUUCUAUUCCCCCUGUUGGGCCAACUUGCUUGUAGAAUCACAAUGGGAGAAUUAUUGAUUUGUUAAUCCCUUCCUUCAACAUGUUAGAACUUGCAUUUUCCUGCUUAAAGUAUUACGUUAAUACACUACAUAAUCACUGGUGCCUGCAGAGCUGACGCAAUAUAACAAAUUAGGCUGGGUCUGAAAGAUGCAGCCAUGUUGGCCUCGCCAAUGAGUGAAUGUUGGAAGAUGCAACAUUAGGAAAUGCCGAGUAUAUAUGGCAACAUCCAUGGUUCUGUCUCCUAUCUCAUAUAAGGCCUAAUUAAGUCUCCUUGUUCUUGUUACAAGUCAUUUAGCACUGAUGUGAUUAGUGAUGUUCCACUGACCUGGAGGUGUGUUAUCACAUACCAAGCAAUUAAUCAUUACCUAAAGUCAUGUUCAUUGCCUCGAUAUCAUUCCCUAUGUCUUUCUUGAAUUCUUUGCUGAAGACAAUUUCCGUGAGAUUAAUUUCCUUUUUGUUCACUUCA